rnacentral:rRNA from 1 species
UACGAAGGGGGCUAGCGUUGCUCGGAAUUACUGGGCGUAAAGGGCUCGUAGGCGGCCAACUAAGUCGGAUGUGAAAUCCCCAGGCUUAACCUGGGAACUGCAUCCGAUACUGGAUGGCUUGAAUCCGGGAGAGGGAUGCAGAAUUCCAGGUGUAGCGGUGAAAUGCGUAGAUAUCUGGAGGAAUACCGGUGGCGAAGGCGGCAUCCUGGACCGGCAUUGACGCUGAUGAGCGAAAGCUGGGGGAGCGAACGGG